GAUGAACGCUAGCGGGAGGCCUAACACAUGCAAGCCGAGCGGGAUUUGUUGGUUAGCUUGCUAACUAACAAUGAGAGCGGCGUACGGGUGCGUAGCACGUGUGCAACCUGCCUUUAUCUGGGGGAUAGCCUUUCGAAAGGAAGAUUAAUACCCCAUAACAUAUUGAUUGGCAUCAGUUAAUAUUGAAAGCUCCGGCGGAUAGAGAUGGGCACGCGUAAGAUUAGCUAGUUGGUGAGGUAACGGCUCACCAAGGCUGCGAUUUUUAGGGGGCCUGAGAGGGUGAUCCCCCACACUGGUACUGAGACACGGACCAGACUCCUACGGGAGGCAGCAGUGAGGAAUAUUGGACAAUGGGUGAGAGCCUGAUCCAGCCAUCCCGCGUGAAGGACUAAGGACCUAUGGUUUGUAAACUUCUUUUAUACAGGGAUAAACCUACUCUCGUGAGGGUAGCUGAAGGUACUGUAUGAAUAAGCACCGGCUAACUCCGUG
rnacentral:rRNA from 1 species